GAUGAACGCUAGCGGCAGGCUUAACACAUGCAAGUCGAGGGGCAGCGCGGAUCAAGCUUGCUUGAUUUGGCGGCGACCGGCGCACGGGUGCGUAACAGGUGUGCAAUCUGUCCAUAAUCGGGGAAUAGCCCAGCGAAAGUUGGAUUAAUGCUCCAUGUGAGUUUUAGAGGCAUCUCUUUAACUUGAAACGCAAGGAUUAUGGGUGAGCACGCUUCUGAUUAGGUAGUUGGUGAGGUAAUGGCUCACCAAGCCGACGAUCAGUAGGGGUUCUGAGAGGAAGGUCCCCCACAUUGGAACUGAGACACGGUCCAAACUCCUACGGGAGGCAGCAGUGAGGAAUAUUGGUCAAUGGACGGAAGUCUGAACCAGCCAAGUCGCGUGAAGGAUGAAGGUUCUAUGGAUUGUAAACUUCUUUUAUUCGAGGGUAAAACAGCGGACGUGUCCGCUCUUGCAAGUAUCGAAUGAAUAGCAUCGGCUAACUCCG
rnacentral:rRNA from 1 species